rnacentral:lncRNA from 1 species
GAAAAAUCUGGCCUAAGCUUCUUGGAAGGUGCUCUCACACCCAAGGUAAAUGAAGUCCAUCGAGUUUUCAGGGAGUGUCCACUGGUUUGUAUGCUAUGAAAAGACUGAAAGAGACUGAUGCAGUGAAAGGAGCUCUUAGGUGUCCGUAUGCACCAUGCAAGGACAUGUUAUUUCCAGUCACUGCAGUCCUGAUCUCCACUCCAGCCCUGGACAAGCAAGGCAAGGUCAGCAAGGAAGGGCCCCUGUGCUAUCUGGAGACCACCGAGAUACUGGACUGUGUUCUGGACAGAUUUCACAGUGAGCAGUUGAGACAGAUAUCAAAUCCCAUGCCUUGAAAAAGGAAUAUAGAAGUGGAUCAAGU